rnacentral:rRNA from 1 species
GACGAACGCUGGCGGCGUGCUUAACACAUGCAAGUCGAACGGAAAGGCCCUGCUUUUGUGGGGUGCUCGAGUGGCGAACGGGUGAGUAACACGUGAGUAACCUGCCCUUGACUUUGGGAUAACUUCAGGAAACUGGGGCUAAUACCGGAUAGGAGCUCCUGCUGCAUGGUGGGGGUUGGAAAGUUUCGGCGGUUGGGGAUGGACUCGCGGCUUAUCAGCUUGUUGGUGGGGUAGUGGCUUACCAAGGCUUUGACGGGUAGCCGGCCUGAGAGGGUGACCGGCCACAUUGGGACUGAGAUACGGCCCAGACUCCUACGGGAGGCAGCAGUCGGGAAUAUUGCACAAUGGGCGGAAGCCUGAUGCAGCAACGCCGCGUGCGGGAUGACGGCCUUCGAGUUGUAAACCGCUUUCGCCUGUGACGAAGCGUGAGUGACGGUAAUGGGUAAAGAAGCACCGGCUAACUACGUG